GCCCCUGUGGGGCACAAAUGGUUAAAGUGCUUGGCUGCUAACCAAAAGGCUGGCAGUUCAAGUCUACCCAGAGGCA
rnacentral:tRNA from 1 species